GGCUGGUCCGAUGGUAGUAGGUUAUCAGAACUUACUAACAUUAGUGUCACUAAAGUUGGUAUUCAACCCCCCACUGCUAAAUUUGACUGACUUUAA
rnacentral:Y_RNA from 1 species